rnacentral:rRNA from 1 species
CCUACGGGAGGCAGCAGUGGGGAAUAUUGCACAAUGGGGGAAACCCUGAUGCAGCGACGCCGCGUGAGUGAAGAAGGAAUUCGUUAUGUAAAGCUCUAUCAGCAGGGAAGAAAAGGACGGUACCUGAGGAAGAAGCCCCGGCUAACUACGUGCCAGCAGCCGCGGUAAUACGUAGGGGGCAAGCGUUAUCCGGAUUGACUGGGUGUAAAGGGAGCGUAGACGGCAGUGCAAGUCUGGAGUGAAAGGCGGGGGCUCAACCCCCGGACUGCUCGGGAAACUGUACGGCUGGAGUGCAGGAGAGGUAAGUGGCAUUCCUCGUGUAGCGGUGACAUGC